GGCUGGACUAUUUAUUACCCUUGUCUUUUGCGCACUUGUUGUUUCCUGGGCGGGUUCGCUCGCCACCAGGACCACAAUAUAAACCUUUUUUAUGCAGUUGCAAUCAGCGUCAGUAUAACAAAUGUAAAUCAUUUACAACUUUCAACAACGGAUCUCUUGGUUCUGGCAUCGAUGAAGAACGCAGCGAAAUGCGAUACGUAGUGUGAAUUGCAGAAUUCAGUGAAUCAUCGAAUCUUUGAACGCACAUUGCGCCCUUUGGUAUUCCAAAGGGCAUGCCUGUUCGAGCGUCAUUUGUACCCUCAAGCUUUGCUUGGUGUUGGGCGUUUUUGUCCCCCCCCAAAAAGGGGACUCGCCUUAAAAGGAUUGGCAGCCGGCCUACUGGUUUCGCAGCGCAGCACAUUUUUGCGCUUGCAAUCAGCAAAAGAGGACGGCAAUCCAUCAAGACUCCUUCUCACGUUUGACCUCGGAUCAGGUAGGGAUACCCGCUGAACUUAAGCAUAUCAAUA
rnacentral:rRNA from 1 species